UCCUGAGGGCUGUGAUUACAGGGAUGUGUCACUGUACCACCUCAAUGUGACUCUUUAGAACAUAGUGGUGUGACUCUUUAGAACAUAGUGAUGUGACUCUUUAGAACAUAAUGAUGUGACUCUUUAGAACAUAGUGGUGUGACUCUUUGGAACGUCUUUUCAAGAUGAAGACCCCAGGGCCUUCAUGUUGUGUGUAAAAAAAGUGACCACGGUUUGCAUAUCCAUGACACAGCACAGGAUGCCCAAUAAAUAGCUGCUGUUGAAGUGAAGAAAGGCCACUUCUGUCAAACAUUUUGUCACAGUGAGGGAAAAAGUAAGCAAGGCCGAUUUCCACUCAGCAAAUCCCAGUGGAGCUCUGAAAGGGCCUGCUGUCCUUCACACUUCACAGAUGAGGCCCAGACAAGCCAAGGACUCAUUUGAGGUCAUCCAACUUGAAACCAUGACCUGUCCCCCAUGACCUGUCCUCCAUACUACUCCGGCUUGAACCAGGUAAUCAAGGCAAUUUUUCUCCUUCCCAUCCCUCCCCCAUUUACUCUUCUGCAUGCUGCACUCAUAGACAGGUUUAAUGCUGGCAUGGUGUAACAUCUGAGAGCUCAUGGGGCAGGUGCCCAGUCUCUUCCUGGAAGGACCUAGGAGGUCAGACUCUGCCAGCCAAACUCCACUGCCAAAGCAUCCUCCAGCUGGAACCAUGGCCCUGGUGACUCAACUCAAGGGCCCCUUGGCCAAGGCAGCCUGUGCCAGAGGACCCCAGCAUGGCUGAGGCUCACCGCUGACUCAUAGGGCAGGCUGCCACCACUCAAAUCACCCACUCCACCUCUGGCUGGAG